ACCCACUCCAGUGUGGGAGAACGGGCCUGCGGCCUAGCAGCCGGCCGCCGCCAUGUGAGGCAGCCGCGCCUAGGCGGCCCGGAGCGGCAGAGCCGGCGAGGACUCCGGAGCCGCAGGCUUGGCCGCAGCCCGCUUUCCUCAGGGCGGCAGCGCUGAGGCGGACCUCCUGCCGUGGUUGGCGUUUCCGGAAUGGAGAGCACACGUUGAGUCGUCCUCCCGGAAGGGGCUCGAAUGCCCGGUUAAUAACCCCGAACGAGACUG
rnacentral:lncRNA from 1 species